rnacentral:rRNA from 1 species
AAAUUGAAGAGUUUGAUCAUGGCUCAGAUUGAACGCUGGCGGCAGGCCUAACACAUGCAAGUCGAGCGGUAGCACAGAGAGCUUGCUCUCGGGUGACGAGCGGCGGACGGGUGAGUAAUGUCUGGGAAACUGCCUGAUGGAGGGGGAUAACUACUGGAAACGGUAGCUAAUACCGCAUAACGUCGCAAGACCAAAGUGGGGGACCUUCGGGCCUCAUGCCAUCAGAUGUGCCCAGAUGGGAUUAGCUAGUAGGUGGGGUAACGGCUCACCUAGGCGACGAUCCCUAGCUGGUCUGAGAGGAUGACCAGCCACACUGGAACUGAGACACGGUCCAGACUCCUACGGGAGGCAGCAGUGGGGAAUAUUGCACAAUGGGCGCAAGCCUGAUGCAGCCAUGCCGCGUGUGUGAAGAAGGCCUUCGGGUUGUAAAGCACUUUCAGCGGGGAGGAAGGCGUUAAGGUUAAUAACCUUGGCGAUUGACGUUACCCGCAGAAGAAGCACCGGCUAACUCCGUGCCAGCAGCCGCGGUAAUACGGAGGGUGCAAGCGUUAAUCGGAAUUACUGGGCGUAAAGCGCACGCAGGCGGUCUGUCAAGUCGGAUGUGAAAUCCCCGGGCUCAACCUGGGAACUGCAUUCGAAACUGGCAGGCUAGAGUCUUGUAGAGGGGGGUAGAAUUCCAGGUGUAGCGGUGAAAUGCGUAGAGAUCUGGAGGAAUACCGGUGGCGAAGGCGGCCCCCUGGGACAAAGACUGACGCUCAGGUGCGAAAGCGUGGGGAGCAAACAGGAUUAGAUACCCUGGUAGUCCACGCCGUAAACGAUGUCGAUUUGGAGGUUGUGCCCUUGAGGCGUGGCUUCCGGAGCUAACGCGUUAAAUCGACCGCCUGGGGAGUACGGCCGCAAGGUUAAAACUCAAAUGAAUUGACGGGGGCCCGCACAAGCGGUGGAGCAUGUGGUUUAAUUCGAUGCAACGCGAAGAACCUUACCUGGUCUUGACAUCCACAGAACUUAGCAGAGAUGCUUUGGUGCCUUCGGGAACUGUGAGACAGGUGCUGCAUGGCUGUCGUCAGCUCGUGUUGUGAAAUGUUGGGUUAAGUCCCGCAACGAGCGCAACCCUUAUCCUUUGUUGCCAGCGGUCCGGCCGGGAACUCAAAGGAGACUGCCAGUGAUAAACUGGAGGAAGGUGGGGAUGACGUCAAGUCAUCAUGGCCCUUACGACCAGGGCUACACACGUGCUACAAUGGCAUAUACAAAGAGAAGCGACCUCGCGAGAGCAAGCGGACCUCAUAAAGUAUGUCGUAGUCCGGAUUGGAGUCUGCAACUCGACUCCAUGAAGUCGGAAUCGCUAGUAAUCGUAGAUCAGAAUGCUACGGUGAAUACGUUCCCGGGCCUUGUACACACCGCCCGUCACACCAUGGGAGUGGGUUGCAAAAGAAGUAGGUAGCUUAACCUUCGGGAGGGCGCUUACCACUUUGUGAUUCAUGACUGGGGUGAAGUCGUAACAAGGUAACCGUAGGGGAACCUGCGGUUGGAUCACCUCCUUA